CGGUCGUUUAAUACUCGGGAGAAUGUGGAGGAGGCGAUGAGACGGAUUGUGGAGAAGUUUAAGGUGUAAAAGGGCAGAGGGAAUUCCAGGUGUAGCGGUGAAAUGCGUAGAGAUCUGGAGGAAUACCGAUGGCGAAGGCAGCCUUCUGGCAUAAUACUGACACUGAGGCUCGAAAGCGUGGGUAGCAAACAGGAUUAGAUACCCUGGUAGUCCACGCCGUAAACGAUGUCUACUAGUCGUUGGGUCCCUUGAGGACUUAGUGACGCAGCUAACGCAAUAAGUAGACCGCCUGGGGAGUACGGCCGCAAGGUUAAAACUCAAAUGAAUUGACGGGGGCCCGCACAAGCGGUGGAGCAUGUGGUUUAAUUCGAUGCAACGCGAAGAACCUUACCUGGUCUUGACAUAUCUAGAAUCCUGCAGAGAUGCGGGAGUGCCUUCGGGAAUUAGAAUACAGGUGCUGCAUGGCUGUCGUCAGCUCGUGUCGUGAGAUGUUGGGUUAAGUCCCGCAACGAGCGCAACCCUUGUCCUUAGUUACC
rnacentral:rRNA from 1 species